ACCCACACACUGUAUGUGCGUGGAUCGACCAGGAACAAAGAAAAACAAGGGCUCACCCUUGUUCUCACCAAUUCGCCAAAUUGACAAGGGAAAAUCGAUGUUUACUAGUUGCAUGUAGUAGGAUUUCGAUCAUUUACCCAUACCCAAUCAAGUGGAACGUGUCAAGGAGAGGUCAAGCAUAGGAGGAUAACGGGUCAAGAUAAGGCAAGGUGACAAAUACACUUAUUGGAGUACUCGAGGUAUGGGAUCGUUGGCUUCAUGAAGAAAUGGAGCUGGAUUUGGAUAAGAGUAUUUAAGAAAGCGCUUGGACAAUUCCACGACUACUUCAUAGAAUGCUCUACGAAA